AACCGAUGUUGCCGCCCUCAAAGUGACGGAUUUGGCUCAGCAUUCAGAUCCGCCAUGAAUCUCAACCCUCAACCAGCCCUUCAGAUUCGCUAUCGCACGACGUCUUCUCUCUUUCGAUAAGUCUUCGCCCACAAUUUUUUUUUGUCUAUUUUAUCCUCUCUCUUUUUUUUUUUUAAUCAAUGUCUGUGUUCUGUUUUAUCUCUGUGGGAUGUGAAUUUGAAGUGUAAUUUGAAUUUUUAUUGUUGUUUCGUUUAUUCUGGAUUCAAAAGAUUUUGUAGAUUUUUUUUUUUUUUUCAUCUUUUGCUUGUUGGAUUUUUUAUCUCAAUUUUUGUUUGUUCGAUGUGAAUCUUCUUAUUGGAUUUCUGUUUGUUGGUAUGGACCAUUUUUUUUUGGGUUUGCCAUUUGCUUGGAUGUAAAAUUUGUUAUUUUUUCUUUCGGAUAUGCGACGUUUCUGAGCUCUCUCAUCUGCUUCCUCUCUCGCCAAAACUGGGAAAAUCCCAGCAACCCUUGUGUUUUUCCCUGUAUCUUUCUGUCUCGUAGGUGGCGUUUCGCUAUCUCUCUGUCGUUUGGUCACACGCACACACAGCCCUUGACUGAGAACACAUUUCUUUGAGAUGCUAUAGAAUAAUGAUCGUGCAAUUUAUAUGCUAUUUUUCUUGAUUGGUACAAAUUCUGAUUUUGGAUGAGGCUGACAAGCUAUUGGAUUUGGGGUUCCAAGAUUAAUUUGAUUAUAUCUCACUUACCAAAGCUUCGUAGAACUGGUCUUUAGCUACUCAAACCGAGGCAGUUGAAGAACUAUCUAAAGCAGGGUUGAGGAAUCCUGUAAAGGUUGAAGUUAGGGCAGAAACAAAGCUGGCGAAUGGUCCUUCAUCGUCAGGACAACUUAACUUUUCAAAAACACAUUCAGGCCUUCACAACGCGAUAUUACAUAACUUGUGCUUGUAUUGAUUAUUGGAGGGUCGUUCUUCCACGCCUUUCUGUUUUGAAGGGGUUCUCUUUGAUCCCGUUGCAUGGCCAGAUGAAGCAGACUGUGAGGGGAAAAGGCAUUAGCUUCAUUUAAAGCUCUUUCAAGUGGUAUUCUUUUACGUACUGAUCUUGCAGCACGUGGACUUGACAUUCCAGAUGUUGAUUGUAUCCUGGAGAGUCGGCCGAACUGCCUGGAUGGGUAGACAAAGAAAUGCCAUUGUUUUUCUAUUGCCAAAGGAGGAAGCUAAUGUAGAAUUCUUACAUAUAAAAAGGGUUUCUCUUGUAGAGAGGAAAUGCUCAGAUGAGACUGCUGAUGUUGUUCCUUGGAUAUUCUGAUAGAGUCAGAACAGAGACUGACCAGUUGGAUAGUCUUGAACUUGAUGAUUUAGAGGCACGCUCAAAUGAGAGCCAAAAUUGAAUUACUACUAAAGCAGCAAAAGCUUGCUCGGAAGGACAUCAAAGAUAUACUUAUAGGCUCCCUUUCACUCCAACUAUAUUAGUUCAGCCUAAGAUUUCUGACAUUGUCUUUGUAGGUCUUAUUCAAAUUCUCAUACUAGCCAUGAUAGUUGCUAUAUGAUAUGUAAAAGGGUAGUCAUCUACUACCCAAGUGCAUUUCAAGUUUCAUAAAAAUUAUGGGCGAUAUUAUUUAUU